UUUGAAACGAAGGCUUAUUUAGAAAACAGAGGAAAAGAAGAGGAAUGAAAAGAUGAUGAUGAUGUCAGGUAAAAAAAAAAGUUCCAGAAAUGUGAAGUACAAAGAUUUUUUGGAUCCAGUUGAAAGUGAUGAAGACAUAGCAAGUGAUCAUAAUGUUGAGCUGGGUUCCAACAAGAUGAUGAAAUUGCUGAAGAAGAAGCAGAAUAACUAAGCAUUUCUGAAAUGUGAGUAUUUUCAACCAUCCUUUACAAUGUGAGCUAGAAUUGCCCAAUUAUGUAUCUGUACUUGUGGUUUUCACAUAUGUUUGUUUUAAGAAGUUAGAUUCUCUCCUAUCAGAUAUUCUCAAGAUAGCCAGAGAAAAGUCUCUGGAUUUAAAGGGACAUUAGAGAUCAAUUAAUGAAGAAAAAUAUUACUGGCAGUAGCAAUCAAACCUUUCUUACCAGGAACUUCGAUUUGGUUUUGUGCCCCCAAAAUCCUGUUAUUUUUGUGAGAUAGGAGGUUUGUAUUAUAGAUUGAUGAAUAAUUUAUUUUCUAUAUAUUGGACACUUUUUGUUCUGUUUCUCCAUAGCAUUUCACUGAAAUGAUACCUUCUCUUCCUUAAUACCUGAAUAAUUUUGGAAGUUCUGAGUAUUUGGUUGCAUUAGGCGUAUAAAAGAAGAACUUUAUUAAGGGAAAAUAUGUUUCCUUUUGUUUUUCUAAUGGAAAGCAGAAUAUUUCUUUUGAUAAGAGCUUUGGUAGUGUAGGGAUGAAGAUGAUGACCUGGAAGAAAGUGAAGACAGUAAACAAUGUAAAGAAAGCUUGAAAAGAGUGACCUUUGCUUUGCCAGAUGAUGAGGCAACUGAAGAUGCAGGUGUUUUAAAUGUAAAGAAAAAUUCUGAUGAAGUUAAAUCCUCUUUUGAAAAAAGACAGGAAAAGGUAAUUAGGAAUUUAAGGAAGUUUUAAUAUGCUUGACAUGAUUGUGGAACUCAGACUAACAAAUAUUCCCUAUUUUUCUUUUUUCUUCUUUUUUUUGAUGGAGUCUUGCUCUGUCACCUAGGCUGGAGUGCAGUGGUGCAAUCUCGGCUCACUGCAGCCUCUGACUCCUGGGUUCAAGUGAUUCUGCCUCAGCCUCCUGAGUAGCUGAGACUAGAGGUGCAUUCCACCAUGCCUGGCUAAUUUUUGUGUUUUUAGAAGACAUGGGGUUUUACCGUGUUGGCCAGGCUGGUCUCGAACUCCUGACCUCAGGUGAUCCUCCUGCCUCGGCCUCCAAAAGUGCUGAGGUUACAGGUGUGAGCCACUGUACCUCAGCCU
rnacentral:lncRNA from 1 species